UUAGGUUGGUGCAAAGGUUAUUGUGGUUUUUGCCAUUGAAAGUAAUGGCAAAAACCGUGAUUACUUUUGCACCAACCUAAUA
rnacentral:miRNA from 1 species